GUACCAGAAGCUGUGGGCAGUUUUCUGCCCAACUUCUGAGUGUAUGAAAAUUGUUCCCUCCCUAUGAGGAUGCUUGUUGCAGAAUGGCUGCGUGAUCAUGGCCAUGACUCCCUUGAAGAUCUUUGUGAAACAAAGUUAGCGUAAGUUAGCUGAAGCAGGCCUUGCAGCUAUGCUGAGGCAUGCUGAUAAGGAAGCUGAGAAAAACACACUGACCUUGUGCCUAAUGUUGUAAAUAACUUUGAGGAAGUCACGUAGACAAGAGAGAAAAAAAAAUAUGUAGCUAGCUAACCGCAGAAACCGCAAGUAGGAGGACAUAUGAAAAUGUAAGCCUUUAGAGCUUAACUAAUCAGCAGAUGACUAGUAGGCAUAAUUAGCUGGAACUGUAUAUAAGACAUAAUCGCGCCGUAAUAAAGUGAAGCUUGCUUUAUCACUCACAUUGAGUUUGCCUGCUUGACUUCCCUCGCCGUCAGCAAGUGGCGCCCGAACAGGGACCUGACGCCUUCAUUAUGUUCCCGUGAAGAGAGGACCCCCACUCCUCCUCCGGUUGACAGCGUGCUCGUUGAGGCCCCGGUUGCAGCGUCCGGGAAGCAGGAGACUGGCUCCGAAGAUAUCGUUCGCCGUCUCCCCGCUUAGACCUUCGGCAACAAGGCAGGGUCUGCCAGCCGAGAAAGAGGCUACCUAGCGAAAUCGCUGCUCCGGACCAGAUAACAAGGAGGUCGCGGAAAUCCAACCUCGCCGGACAAAGAAGGGGGGCGAGAUUACAGAGUGCGCGCAUCAUGGAAAGAGAGGUAGCCUUUGAAUUAUUAAGACGCUUUUUAGAAAAGCGGGGAGUAGGCCCUUUAAAAGACCUGGCCGGGUUAAUUGCUAUGGGAAAAGCGAAAGGGUUUUUUACAGAUCCCGAAAAAAUGUUUGAAGUAGAGGAGUGGCGUGCGUUUGGAGACUGCUUGUGGGACUUAGUUAUAGAUGACGAUAAGGCAGAAAAAAAGAAAAAAUAAAAAGUUAAUGAAAUCAUGGCGUGAAGUAACUAAUUGUAUAAAAAGAUAUCAAGCAGAAAAGUGCCUUGCUGCGGCAGCAACAAGCCGACUUGCAAGCGCAAAUCCUAAUGCAGGAAAAAUUAUGCCAUGUGAAAAUCACAUUCCAAUACCCCCUUUAUCACAAACAGUGCCCUCUGUACCACCUAUAGAGCCCACUGCACCACCUCCAGACCCUUCGUGUCCUCCGCCUCCCCCCCCUCCGGUGCAUAGCCUCGGGUGGGCCAGAGGGCAGAGACACAUCUGACGAAAGUUCUGUUGAGGAAGAAAAUAGCAGUGGGCAGUCAUUACAAAAUUCUAAAAAUUCUAAAAAUUCAGUAAACAAACUGUUGUGUUCUACGCGCAUCAAUUGGCAAAAAAUAGCACAAGAAGCAGCUGCUCAGGGAAUAUUUGAUAUUGCUGAGCAAGUCAACCCCCCACAAGCUUUCCCUGUAACAUAUCAGAUAAAUGCCGCUAACCAAAGACAAGGAACCUGGGAGGCCUUUGAUUGGAAAAUAUUAAGUUACGCAGUUACGCAGUACAGUGAAUGAGUCAGGCCUCCACAGUGAGCCCACCAGACAAAUGUUAAAUUAUAUUUGGAGCAGUGAUAUACUGUGCCCCGAAGAUAUUAAAAACAUAAUGCGUCUCAUUUUGAAACAAUCCCAGCAAUUGUUGUGGCAAGCCCAUUGGCAGCGGCUAUGUGAAGUAUCUGCACAUAGUCCAAGGCAGCAGGGUGACCCUCUGUUAGGAGUCACCGUUGAGCAGCUAAUGGGCACAGGGCCAUUUCAAAGCGUCGACGCUCAACUGCACCUUACCCCUGAGGUAGCAGCCGAGUCCAUGAGACUAGCCCGAGAAGCCCUGCAGAGACUAAAAACUUCGCCACCCUCACCAUCAUAUUUAUCUGUUAAACAGGGGAGAGAUGAGUCUUUUGCAUCCUUUGUUGACCGAGUAACUGAAGCUAUCAACUUAGCCGAUAUGCCUACCUUUAUGAAAGGGCCGUUAUUGCGCCAAUGUAUUUUGGAGAAUAGUAACAGUUACACCAAAGGCAUUUUAGUAACCCUGCCCUUAGAUUCUUCUGUAGAAACAAUGCUAGAGCGAAUGAGUCGGGUGCCAGUAGGUCAGCAAGCCUUGCUAGUGGAAGCAAUCCAAGCAGUAGGGAGAGAUUUAGUGCAAGCCCAAAGUCAGGCUUUUGCAGCGCUUGCGCCUCUGCGCCCCCCUGGGGCUACCGCGCCCCCAAAGCCAGUGAUCACCAAGCGCUGAGACUUCCUCUGUUAUCGAUGCGGGAAACCAGGACAUACCCGUGACCGCUGUCGACAACAUCAAGUGUGGUGCCAAAAUUGUCAGUGAGGGACCCACAACACCAAUGUCUGUCGGCAGACGGGAAACGAGAAACCUAGUGCGAGGAGCCGCAGCGCGUCGACCCCAAUCAUGGCUCCUGUCACCUUCAUGACACCCCCUCCAGGAGACAUGACCAACUCUUAUCGGCAGACACCAUGUUACAACCCGCCACCCGAGGGAGCCUCGGCCUGGACCUGGCAACAGCAGUAGAUACAACAUUAAUUGACAACCGACCACAAAAAAUCGCAACUCGUGUCCGAGGACCUUUGAUAAUUAAUGGACAAAGUUAUGGUGCUCUAUUAUUAGGGCGGUCUUCUGGUAGUCUAAAAGGGCUGUUGCAAAGUGUGUUGCUUAUAGUAAUAAUUGUUAUCAUUGCACUCGUAUGUUUAAGCUGUGCUCUCUCUUGUAUUCGAAAAUUACUCGAGCGUGUAACUGGACAAGUUUUGCUUGCGCAAAGAGAAAAAGGGGGAAUUGUUGCAGAAUGGCUGCGUGAUCAUGGCCAUGACUCCCUUGAAGAUCUUUGUGAAACAAAGUUAGCGUAAGUUAGCUGAAGCAGGCCUUGCAGCUAUGCUGAGGCAUGCUGAUAAGGAAGCUGAGAAAAACACACUGACCUUGUGCCUAAUGUUGUAAAUAACUUUGAGGAAGUCGCGUAGACAAGAGAGAAAAAAAAAUAUGUAGCGAGCUAACCGCAGAAACCGCAAGUAGGAGGACGUAUGAAAAUGUAACCCUUUAGAGCUUAGCCAAUCAGCAGAUGACUAGUAGGCAUAAUUAGCUGGAACUGUAUAUAAGACAUAAUCGCGCCGUAAUAAAGUGAAGCUUGUUUUAUCACUCA